GCCCGGGUGGCGAAAAGGUGAGACGCGGGGGACUUAAAAUCCCCUGACCGCAAGGUCGUGUGGGUUCGAUUCCCACCCCGGGCA
rnacentral:tRNA from 1 species